UACGAAGGGGGCUAGCGUUGUUCGGAAUUACUGGGCGUAAAGCGCGCGCAGGCGGUUCUUCAAGUCAGAGGUGAAAGCCCAGAGCUCAACUCUGGAAUGGCCUUUGAGACUAGAGAACUUGGGUACGGGAGAGGUGAGUGGAAUUCCGAGUGUAGAGGUGAAAUUCGUAGAUAUUCGGAAGAACACCAGUGGCGAAGGCGGCUCACUGGCCCGGUACUGACGCUGAGGCGCGAAAGCGUGGGGAGCAAACAGG
rnacentral:rRNA from 1 species